rnacentral:rRNA from 1 species
UACGUAGGGGGCAAGCGUUGUCCGGAUUUAUUGGGCGUAAAGAGCUCGUAGGCGGUUUGUCGCGUCUGCUGUGAAAACCCGAGGCUUAACCUCGGGCCUGCAUUCGAUACGGGCUGACUAGAGUUCGGUAGGGGAGACUGGAAUUCCUGGUGUAGCGGUGAAAUGCGCAGAUAUCAGGAGGAACACCGGUGGCGAAGGCGGGUCUCUGGGCCGAUACUGACGCUGAGGAGCGAAAGCGUGGGGAGCGAACAGG